CGCGUAGGCGGUCUUUUAAGUCAGAUGUGAAAGCCCGGGGCUUAACCUCGGAAGUGCAUUUGAAACUGGAGGACUUGAGUAUGGGAGAGGGAAGUGGAAUUCCUGGUGUAGAGGUGAAAUUCGUAGAUAUCAGGAGGAACAUCGGUGGCGAAGGCGACUUCCUGGACCAAUACUGACGCUGAGGCGCGAAGGCGUGGGGAGCAAACAGGAUUAGAUACCCUGGUAGUCC
rnacentral:rRNA from 1 species